CAGCCGCCGCGGUAAUACGUAGGGUGCAAGCGUUAAUCGGAAUUACUGGGCGUAAAGCGUGCGCAGGCGGUUUGUUAAGACAGAUGUGAAAUCCCCGGGCUCAACCUGGGAACUGCAUUUGUGACUGGCAAGCUAGAGUGUGGCAGAGGGGGGUGGAAUUCCGCGUGUAGCAGUGAAAUGCGUAGAUAUGCGGAGGAACACCGAUGGCGAAGGCAGCCCCUGGGCCAACACUGACGCUCAUGCACGAAAGCGUGGGGAGCAAACAGGAUUAGAUACCCCAGUAGUCCCUGUCUCUUAUACA
rnacentral:rRNA from 1 species